AGUCCCGGAACACUCUCGGCCCUCUUCAGCCACUCCCUCCCCAACCCACACGCCAUCAACCUCCAGACCCUCUCGCCGUGGCUUAGAGGUGUCUCUGACAACGUGGCACACUGGGAAGGCCUUCUUUCCUGCUACCAAUACAAAUGCAUUCUGAAUUUGAUAUGUCAUUAAAUGUAAAAAUACAGCCAAUUUGAAACAAGCAAAUGGAAAUUCCCAGGAACCAAAAACAGAAAGAAAAAUCAGAGCUACCGCAGUGCUGUCCCUGCAGACAGAAUUUGGGAGAGGUACUCAGAGUCACCUCCUGUGAGCCUAUGCAAGCCAGCUCCUGCACAACCCUGGUUUUAGUCCAGCCUUCUGCAGAAUUCCACAUUAAACAGGAUGAAGAAUAGGUUGUUAGCAGACUGAGGUACUUGGGGCAACAUUUCGUACACAACAGGAGGGAGAAACGACUCCAGGUGAGGAGUCUAACCAAGUUCUCUGGCUGGGCGAGUGCACGGGGGAACACUGUGGGCUUUGAGGGGGUGUGUGCCAGUCACACAGGAGCGGCAUUGCUGCCCUCUUCACUGUAUGCAGGCCACUGUGCUGGCACAGCCAUGCUUCCCCCUGUUAGACACAAUGGUGAUUCUUAGGGUUGACAUUGUGGCUGUAUAGUUGCUGAGUUCAUCUUUGUGUCUGAUGGACCGAGUAAUGCUGCCCCAUGGAGGAGAACCAUGGGUUUAAUCUCUAAAUCACCACCUCCACGUUGUUUUUAGAAAAACAAUCAGAUUUUGGUGAAACUGAUGUUUGCAAGUGUGAGUGAGCCCCAUGUGCUGAAGCUUCAGGAACCCCUGAGAUGGCACAAGUUCUGCCGUACUGGGCAACGGAUGGUCUUGAAGCACACAAGACACUGGAAGACAUGAGGGCAAUUGCUACACGCCAAGCCCGGUGCCAAGCACGUUGUGCAGGUUGUUUCGUUGAUUCCGGGCCUGGCCUUUGAGAUCUGUGGAGGAUACCAUGAACUGGCUGGCUCUGCAUCCUGCUUGCAGGCGCUGGCAAGCUGGAACCUGCUUUUCUACGCCACACUGCAGAGGGCCCUGAAUGUGAUCUAUGAUUGCAACAAGCAGCCCUGAUGCGGAUCCGGAGGGCAGGGAUGACGUGGGGGCUGCCUUUCUGGUUGACCUGCUGGUAAGCAUGGCCUCAUGGAUCUAUCACCAACAGCACCCAGUCACUUGGGGAGGCCGAGUGGCAGGGCUGGGGCAUCCAUCAGGGUUUGAUUUUGCUUAUGUGGACCGGCAGGUGCAGCACAGCUGCAUUUUAGUGCAGGGCUUCCUGAUCCUGCUGCACAGCUAACACCGUUCUUCCCGAAGGCAGCAGCUCCCCCACGGGGCUGUUUCCCCAGUUCUGGGCAUCAGUCCCAGAGGCAAAGACGGGAGCCAUCCACUCUGACUCUGCCAACAAUUCUGUGAGCACCCAGUUCUCUGUAUGAAAUUCCUUUCUGCUUUAGAUAAUUAAAAUAACUUUUCUUCCCCUGCAA
rnacentral:lncRNA from 1 species